GACAGAGGGUGCAACGUUUGUUCGGAAUUACUGGGCGUAAAGCGAGUGUAGGCGGUUUGGUAAGUCGGAUGUGAAAGCCCCGGGCUCAACCCGGGAAGUGCACUCGAUACUACCAGGCUAGAGUAUCGGAGAGGUUGGUGGAAUUCCUGGUGUAGCGGUGGAAUGCGCAGAUAUCAGGAGGAACACCGAUGGCGAAGGCAGGUCUCUGGGCCACUACUGACGCUGAGAAGCGAAAGCAUGGGGAGCGAACAGG
rnacentral:rRNA from 1 species